rnacentral:rRNA from 2 species
AUUGAUUGGUGCUUGCAUCAUGAUUUACAUUUGAGUGAGUGGCGAACUGGUGAGUAACACGUGGGAAACCUGCCCAGAAGCGGGGGAUAACACCUGGAAACAGAUGCUAAUACCGCAUAACAACUUGGACCGCAUGGUCCGAGUUUGAAAGAUGGCUUCGGCUAUCACUUUUGGAUGGUCCCGCGGCGUAUUAGCUAGAUGGUGGGGUAACGGCUCACCAUGGCAAUGAUACGUAGCCGACCUGAGAGGGUAAUCGGCCACAUUGGGACUGAGACACGGCCCAAACUCCUACGGGAGGCAGCAGUAGGGAAUCUUCCACAAUGGACGAAAGUCUGAUGGAGCAACGCCGCGUGAGUGAAGAAGGGUUUCGGCUCGUAAAACUCUGUUGUUAAAGAAGAACAUAUCUGAGAGUAACUGUUCAGGUAUUGACGGUAUUUAACCAGAAAGCCACGGCUAACUACGUGCCAGCAGCCGCGGUAAUACGUAGGUGGCAAGCGUUGUCCGGAUUUAUUGGGCGUAAAGCGAGCGCAGGCGGUUUUUUAAGUCUGAUGUGAAAGCCUUCGGCUCAACCGAAGAAGUGCAUCGGAAACUGGGAAACUUGAGUGCAGAAGAGGACAGUGGAACUCCAUGUGUAGCGGUGAAAUGCGUAGAUAUAUGGAAGAACACCAGUGGCGAAGGCGGCUGUCUGGUCUGUAACUGACGCUGAGGCUCGAAAGUAUGGGUAGCAAACAGGAUUAGAUACCCUGGUAGUCCAUACCGUAAACGAUGAAUGCUAAGUGUUGGAGGGUUUCCGCCCUUCAGUGCUGCAGCUAACGCAUUAAGCAUUCCGCCUGGGGAGUACGGGCCGCAAGGCUGAAACUCAAAGGAAUUGACGGGGGCCCGCACAAGCGGUGGAGCAUGUGGUUUAAUUCGAAGCUACGCGAAGAACCUU